rnacentral:rRNA from 1 species
GACGAACGCUGGCGGCGUGCCUAAUACAUGCAAGUUGAGCGCUGAAGGUUGGUACUUGUACCAACUGGAUGAGCAGCGAACGGGUGAGUAACGCGUGGGGAAUCUGCCUUUGAGCGGGGGACAACAUUUGGAAACGAAUGCUAAUACCGCAUAAAAACUUUAAACACAAGUUUUAAGUUUGAAAGAUGCAAUUGCAUCACUCAAAGAUGAUCCCGCGUUGUAUUAGCUAGUUGGUGAGGUAAAGGCUCACCAAGGCGAUGAUACAUAGCCGACCUGAGAGGGUGAUCGGCCACAUUGGGACUGAGACACGGCCCAAACUCCUACGGGAGGCAGCAGUAGGGAAUCUUAGGCAAUGGACGAAAGUCUGACCGAGCAACGCCGCGUGAGUGAAGAAGGUUUUCGGAUCGUAAAACUCGGUUGGUAGAGAAGAACGUUGGUGAGAGUGGAAAGCUCAUCAAGUGACGGUAACUACCCAGAAAGGGACGGCUAACUACGUG